AUCUCUGUAUCUGGUGGUGGAUGGGGUGUUCCUUUAGCUGCUAGGGCCGCUAACCAUGCUACCAGGUGGCAGGGCGAACCAUGGUUUCCCUCAGCCUGUGCACCCAGCAUAGAGAGGAUGGCUGCCCAUCCUCAGCUCCCCUCCUUGCUUCCUCGAGUGUUCUGACUCCGCACUAGCCGCGCCCUGUAGGAAGAAUAGGGUGUCCACCUCUCCCCGGUGCUCGCCUAGUCACUCCAGUUGAAGACGGGACGCGUGCCCGAUCUCAAGAGAGCCCCCGACCCGUCCGUGGGGAACCACAUCGACGCUUCUUCUCAGCCUCCAGUCUCCAGUUCCAAGGAUGGGUCAUCUCCAACCACUUGCCCUGCCUCAGUUUCUCCAUCUCCCUGCUGCAGCCCCGAGGAACUGGGCACCCUCGAGCCGUGCAUGGCCCGCGCUGCGCUCCGAGGUCCCGCGCCGGGUCGCGCCGCAGUCUUCCUCAAGUAUGCGCGGCCCCAGCGCCAGGGGACCAGCCUUGCCGCCGCCUGCCUGCUCCGCCGCCUCCAGUCUGAGCCUCCCUGAGUACUGGGACUCAGUCACAAAAAAAUCAACAACAAAAAACAAAACCCUCCCAGUGUGUGUCCGUCUCUCAUCUCAAUAAAAGAAUUUAUUUUAUUCUGAGCGCUCUCUGCCCUCAUUGGUCGAAUUCCGGUCCCCUCUCGCUUUUGAUUGGUCGCUUUCUAGGCCUCGCAUCCCUCUGAUUGGAUGUGCUCACCACUUCCUUUAAUGGUUGCUGGGAGAUAAAAUGCAAAUUCUGAACUCCUCCACCAGGGGGCAAUGGCGGGCUUCCCCAAGAGUCAUUCAGCGGGAUAAAACUGGGAUCCCUUAAGGACUGGCAAAAAAUCACAAGAGAUGGGGACUGUGGGGGAGUUGAGAAUGCCCAUCCCGGUCAGAAGAAAUGCUACCUCGAUGUUGCCGGAUUUUCAGAUCUUAUUCAAGUAAACCUGAGAUUCUGCAAUUCCAUAUCUGCGUUUAGAUGUCAACUAAUUCAGUCUUUCUGUUUUUGUUGUUGUUUUAGACGGAGUUUCGUUCUUGUUGCCCAGGCUGCUGGAGUGCAAUGGCGCGGUCUCGGCUCACUGCAAACUCCGCCUCCCGGGUUCAAAUGAUUCUCUUGCCUCAGCUUCCCAAAUAGCUGGGAUUACAGGCUCCUGCCACCACGCCCGGCUAAUUUUUGUAUUUUUAGUAGAGACAUGUUUCACCAUGUUGGCCAGGCUGGUCUCGAACUCCUAACCUCAGGUGAUCCUCCCGCCUCGGCCUCCCAAAGUGCUGGGAUUACAGGCUUGAGCCACCGUACCCGGCCUAAUUCAAUAUUUCUUAAUGGUUGUACAAGCCCAACACAUCACAUAUACUGGGCUAUGAAGAUAGGUUCUCCCAAGCCUGGAAGAUGCUCUGCGAAGGUCAUCAGUUUGUAGUAGUAAGUCCUGGAUAGUAAGAGUUUUAUCAAUGGGGUCUGAUAUACUUAACCUGGGAAGUGCCCAGGUGUCAGUGGGGAUAAUUAUGGUACCAACCUCCUGACACUGUGGUGAGGAUGUGAGUUAAAAUAUACGUAAAGCAGCCAGGUGCGAUGGCUCAAGUCUAUAAUCCCAGCACUCUGGGAGACCGAGGCGGGCGGAUCACGAGGUCAGGAGUUUGGGACCGGCCUGGUCAACAUAGUGAAACCCCGUCUCUACUAAAAAUGCAACAAAUUAGCUGGGUGUGGUGGCGGGCUUCUAUAAUCCGAGCUACUCAGGAGGCUGAUGCAAGAAAAUCGCUUGAACCCGGAAGGUGGAUGUUGCCGUGAGCCGAGGUCACGUCAUUGCACUCCAGCCCCGGCGACAGUGCAAGACUCCAUCUCAAAAUAAAUAAUAAAAAAUAAAUAAAAGGGAAAGCUCUUUAUGACAAUGUCUGACACCUAGGAGGUGUUGUAAAAGUGUUAGCAUUGCAUCCCAGCAGGACUGUGAUUUUAGGUACAGUUGUCCUGUGCUACUGUGCCUGGGUACCUAGGCAUUUACUUCGUCAGAAAACAUGGUUAUGAAUCAACGGAUCUCCUUUUUUUUUUAUUUUUUUUUUUGAGACAGGGUCUCACUCUGUCAUCAUUCAGGUUGGAGUGCAGUGGUGUGAUCUCAGCUCACUGCAACUUCCACCUCUUGGGUUCAAGCAAUCCUCCCGCCUCAGCCUUCCAAGUGGUGCACGCCACCACCCCUGGCUAAUUUUUUGUAUUUUUGGUAGAGACAAGGUUUUGCCAUGUUGCCCAGGCUGGUCUCGAACUCCUGAAUUCAGGUGAUCCACUUGCCCCGGCCUUCCAAAGUCCUGGGAUUACAGGUGUGAGUCACUGCGCCCAGCCAGAUCUCUGUGUUUUUCAUUACAAAACAGACACACCGGAGGUAGGGAAAGGUGUGUGCACUGCUCAAGAACUCAAAUUCAUGAGUUUUACACUCCUAACUGAGCCUGGGUUUGGAGAUGCAGAGAGGAAAAUGUUUGCACCCCUGAGGUGUUCAAGGCUGGACCCCAGGGAUAAGGGAGAAACUCACUCAGCAAAAGCGUUUUACAGCAAAGUACAAUAAGAGAUAGAGGCAGAUGCUCUGGUUGAGAUGGAAGGUGCUGAGUUCUGGUUUCUGUCUGUCACAUGUGACCUGCCAUGGGACCUCCAGCUAGAGGAUGUGCUGUGGGGGUGGAGUUGGGGAGAGUGGGGAGGCCUGGGGCUGAGACCCAAGCUAGAGUCUCAGAGGAGGGGGAGGAGUAGUAAUGCAUAAUGCCAUUCACUCACACACUCAUUCAUUCAACAACUAUAUAUGGAUGCUGACUCAGAGCCAGGCACUCAUGAUCACAUGACUCAGAGUCUAAUGGACGAUAAGAAACACCAGUUGUUAAUUGCCCAUUAAUGUAUGAAGCCCUGUGCUAAGUGCCUUACCUGCAUAAGAUAAUUCAGUCUCUGCAACCGCUCUGAGGUUAACUUGCCUUCUAUCCUCAUGUCGCACAGACGAAGCCGAAGGAGGAGGAUCGAGGAACUUGGCCCAGGUCCCACAGCUAAGGAGGCGGCAAAGGAGGACUGAAGGGCAGUUGACUCAUUCAUCCUCGAUUUUUUUCUUGAAAGCCUCCUGCAUGCUUCCUUUCCUGGGGACUUGUUUGCCCUCUCACUUGUUUUCCCCCAUAGACAGCCGAGCUGGAUGAGGGCAAGAAGGAGAUCUCUCUUGUUUUUAGAGUUAUUCCCUCCUCCAGGAAGACUUUAUCACCACCUCAGCCCAGGGCAGGUACCUCCCACAUCCCAGCCCCGACCCCUCUGCCUGUGCCUCUUCCACCUCGGCCCCGACCCCUCUGCCUGUGCUUCCCAGGCUAGCCUGCUCAGGGCUGUCACUGUCUGGUCACUGGUCUGUCUUCCCACUGAACUGGGGCCCAGUGAGAGUAGGGUCUGAAGCUCACGCAGUGUCUGCUAUGUCCCAGCAUCAUCCAGCACAGAGCUGGGCACAGAAAGGAUGUCAGUGAAUAUUUGUUUCAUAAAUUAACAGAUGAAUCCCAAAGGUGGUAUUAUUUUUAAUUCCUUUCCUUUCCUUUUUUCUCUUUCCUCUUUCCCCUUUCCCCUUUCCUUUCCUUUCCUUUCCUUUCCUUUCCUUUCCUUUCCUUUCCUUUCCUUUCCUUUCCUUUCCUUUUUUGAGACGGCAUCUCCCUCUGUCACCCAGGCUGGAGUGCAGUGGCACAAUCUCGGCUCACUGCAACCUCUGCCUCCCAGGUUCAAGUGAUUCUCCUGCCUCAGUCUCCCGAGUAGCUGGGACUACAGGUGCACGCCACCACACCAGGCUAAUUUUUGUGUAUAUAUACAAAAAUUUUGUAUAUAUUGUAUAUUAGUAGAGACGGAGUUUUGCCAUAUUGGCCAGGCUGGUCUCAAACUUCUGACCUCAAGCGAUCCAUCCACCUCGACCUCCCAAAGUGCUGGGAUUACAGGCGUGAGCCACCUCGACUGGCCCUAAAGGUGAUAUUAUUGUGCCAUGUUACUGAUGAGGAUACAGAGUUCCAGGUAGUUUAAGCGAGCUGUCUAAGUCAUACCACUAGUGAGAAAGUAAGCAGGGAUUUGAAUUUGGGAAGCUUGGGUCCAAAUCCUGUGUUCUCAUUCGAUAUGCCAAAUGGCCAGUGGGCUGAGAGCCAGCUUUCCGUGAGGCUGAUGUCUUCCUGCUCUUUCCCCCAGGCUCGUCCUUUCCUUCUAGAAAUCUUCGGGAGCUUUGGGCACCGGGGAGGAGAGCAGGCAGGAGGUUGGGGAGGGUAAGGGGAAUGGGAACAAUUCGGGGGGCGGGCUGGAGAACUAGGACUUGGUUAAUUUGAGAGUGAGCAUGGGGGAAGUCUCGAGGGGUUUCCCUAGACCCAUAGGGGGCAGCCGGAGUCGGCUGCCGGAGGUGAGGGGGCGGAGAAAGGGUGGGGACCAGCCCCGCGGGGGGCGAUGCGGUAGCUGCAGCGGCGGCGGCAGGAGUUUCCCACAAUGCAGCGCGGCGCGCUGUCCCCGGUGCUGAUGCUCAGCGCUGCCCCGGAGCCUCCGCCGCGCCCGCCUCCCGCCCUCUCCCCACCGGGCUCGGGCCCAGGCUCGGGCUCCCGCCAUGGCUCGGCUCGUCCCGGUCCUACCCCAGAGCCGUCGGGGAGCCUGGGCGCGGCGCUCGACAGCAGCCUGCGUGCCGCCGUGGCGUUCAAGGCAGAGGGCCAGCGCUGCUAUCGAGAGAAGAAGUUCCGGGAGGCCAUCGGCAAGUACCACCGAGCGCUGCUGCAGCUGAAGGCGGCGCAGGGGGCCCGCCCUAGCGGCCUGCCCGCCCCCGCCCCCGGGCCCACCAGCAGCCCCGGGCCGGCGCGCCUCAGCGAGGAGCAGCGGCGCCUGGUGGAGAGCACGGAGGUGGAGUGUUACGACUCCCUCACGGGUACGCCGUCGGGGGGUGGGGGGAUGGGGCACGAGGGGAGGGGGCAAUCGGGAGAGCUUGGCGACUUGGGGGCCAGGGGCCCUGGGGCUGAAGGGUCCAGGGCUGUGGGCUUCUGGGGGAGCCUUCAGAGCUUGAUCAAGGAAAGGGAUUAGGGGUAGGGGAUGACAGGGGUCUGUGGCUGGAGGGAGCUGGGAUGCAGGAAAUGGUCUUUGGGUCGGGUAUUCAGGGCCUCGCUUCCCCUGAGUCAUUCUUUCCACCCCCUGGCCGCACGUGGACCCAAGGUGAGGAAGUCUGCCCUGAGCCAGGCUCUCGAGGUCCCGGCCCUCGCCCCCGCGCGGGGCCUUAGUGCUCUUGCCCACCGACAGCUCUGGGUGGAUCGCCCAGUGGCGCCUG
rnacentral:lncRNA from 1 species